rnacentral:rRNA from 1 species
AGUGAACGCUGGCGGUAGGCCUAACACAUGCAAGUCGAACGGCAGCACAGUAAGAGCUUGCUCUUACGGGUGGCGAGUGGCGGACGGGUGAGGAAUACAUCGGAAUCUACUUUUUCGUGGGGGAUAACGUAGGGAAACUUACGCUAAUACCGCAUACGACCUACGGGUGAAAGCAGGGGAUCUUCGGACCUUGCGCGAUUGAAUGAGCCGAUGUCGGAUUAGCUAGUUGGCGGGGUAAAGGGCCACCAAGGCGACGAUCCGUAGCUGGUCUGAGAGGAUGAUCAGCCACACUGGAACUGAGACACGGUCCAGACUCCUACGGGAGGCAGCAGUGGGGAAUAUUGGACAAUGGGCGCAAGCCUGAUCCAGCCAUACCGCGUGGGUGAAGAAGGCCUUCGGGUUGUAAAGCCCUUUUGUUGGGAAAGAAAAGCAGCAGGUUAAUACCCCGCUGUUCUGACGGUACCCAAAGAAUAAGCACCGGCUAACUUCGUG